rnacentral:tRNA from 1 species
GAGGUCUUAGCUUAAAUUAAAGUAUUUGGGUUGCAUUCAGAUGAUGAGUAUUAAAAUUACUUAGGCCUUC